GCCGCCGCCUUGCUUGCUACCACUGGCGUCUACGCCGAGAUCUCCACCUACAUUCCCUCCGCCGCCCUCUAAACAGCCUGUCCCGGCCGCGGCACCCUUGGACUCGCCACCGAAGAUCGACGGCGCCGUCCUCUUCGCUUGCGAAGAAGGCCGAGGUCUUCACGGUGGUCGGGGAGAGGUGCCUGGCUUUCAUCUCCUCGCGAAGCCCGUGCCGGCUCGGCGGUGGCGCACGAUAAUGGAGGUGGCCGAUGCUGGUAGGCGAAAUGAAAGGCGUCGCCGGCGCGUGAUUCGGUGGUCCAGGACAUCGGCGGCGCUUGAGCUUCUCCGGCGUCGGUCCUUCCCGGUGUUCCUGGUCGACGGCGAGCUGGACAGGACCUCGUUGCACUGCCGCUGCAGCUGCGUGCGACAGGACAGGUUUGGCGUGCAAUUUUCGUCGCCUAGGGUUCAGUGGCGAGAUGCCCACGUCGCCCAGGUGGCUGGCGCUCACACAGGGUGCCGGGAGGGUGUCCCUGGGCUCUCAGCGGCAGCCUGGUAGCCAGCACUGGGUCACUGAGCGAGUGCUAGCUCUCUGAAGAAGACAUCAACAGGCUCCUUAAGGUCCAGAUGCCUCUUCGCCUACUUACCCUGAUGUCCCUACAUCCCAGUGAGGACGGGGCGCGUCGGGCUGCUCCCUGGCCGAGAGUGGUGCCCGUUCUGUCGUAGCGCCAUACAUCAUUAUUGGGUUAGAUUAAGCUGAAUUACUUGGCGCAUCCUCUAGUUCAUUAAAAUAUUGUUCUUAGUUGAAUGUGUUAUCUGAAAUGGUAGUGUUGGGGAAACUACAAUUGUCGGCGGCACGUGUUUGGGUCAUCACCGGCGCGCCGCCUUCUCCUCGUCUGUCUUCUGUACAUCCAUGUUCUCGUUUGCGUGCUACUCCAUGGUGAUCAAUCUUCUCGCUCUGCCAAGCCUCCACAAGAGCCACCAAACAAUAUCCUCUUCAUCCAGAACAGUGCUGACCAGACAUCGAGCAUGAUGGUGGAGGUCCUGUUCCAGCAGUACCCUGGUUUCCGGGAGGUUUGGAUGAUCGAGGCCAGGCCAGGCAUUGCUUUGGUGGAGUCCGAUGACGAGAACCAGUCCAUGGUUGCGAUGCAAGCCCUCCAGGGUUUCUGGAUGAGCCGGAGAACCCAAUCACUAUAUCGUACGCCAAAAAAUAAUGAUGAUCCAUGGGAUCCCCAAACCGUCCGAAGAAACCUGUAGCCAUAAGAUUUUCCCACCCUAUGAUUUACACUAUAGUGGUGAUCUAACUGACUUGUAAAGAAAUACAUGGUGUUUAGUCUCUUGCAACAGUUGAGACGUAAUCAUAGCAUUUGUCUGAAAUUAUGGAAGUACUCAUGAUUAGCAUACACAAGUUAGAUUUGGACAAGGAAAUGUGUCACUGGUUAAAGAUGCUCCUUUCUCUACACUCUCGCAGCCCUGAUACUUUAUACCCAGUAGCCCAUGAAGCAAAGUGGCUUGAAACGUGUUCACAGUCUAUGAUCCAUUUCUAA